rnacentral:rRNA from 1 species
CCUACGGGUGUCAGCAGUGAGGAAUAUUGGUCAAUGGGCGGGAGCCUGAACCAGCCAAGUCGCGUGAGGGCAGACUGUCCUAUGGAUUGUAAACCUCUUUAGGCGGGGAGCAAUGCCGGGCACGCGUGCCCGGAGGGAGAGUACCCGCAGCAUAAGCAUCGGCUAACUCCGUGCCAUCAGCCGCGGUAAUACGGAGGAUGCGAGCGUUAUCCGGAGUUAUUUGGUUUUAAGGGUGCGUAGGCGGAUUUUUAAGUCAGCGGUAAAAUGUCCGGGCUCAACCCGGGCCGGCCGUUGAAACUGGGGUGCUUGAGUGGGCGAGAAGUAUGCGGAAUGCGUGGUGUAGCGGUGAAAUGAAUAGAGAUCACGCAGAAAUCCGAUUGCGAAGGCAGCAUACCGGCGCCCGACUGACGCUGAGGCACGAAAGCGUGGGGAUCGAACAGGAUUAGAUACCCUGGUAGUC